GACGAACGCUGGCGGCGUGCUUAACACAUGCAAGUCGAACGGAAAGGCCCGGCUUUUGUGGGGUGCUCGAGUGGCGAACGGGUGAGUAACACGUGAGUAACCUGCCCUUGACUGUGGGAUAACUUCAGGAAACUGGGGCUAAUACCGGAUAGGAGCUCCUGCUGCAGGGUGGGGGUGGGAAAGUUUCGGCGGUUGGGGAUGGACUCGCGGCUUAUCAGCUUGUUGGUGGGGUAGUGGCUUACCAAGGCUUGGAAGGGUAGCCGGCCUGAGCGGGUGACAGGCCACGUUGGGACUGAGAUACGGCCCAGACUACUCCCGGACGCAGCAGUGCAGAAUAUUGCACAAUGGGCGGAAGCCUGAUGCAGCCACGCCGCGUGCGGGAUGACGGCCUUCGGGUUGUAAUCCGCUUUCGCCUGUGACGAAGCGUGAGUGACGGUAAUGGGUAAAGAAGCACCGGCUAACUACGUG
rnacentral:rRNA from 1 species